GAUGCACAAAAAGCACAGAAUUAAACUCCAGUCCUAAAUGAAUAAUAAAAUCUCACUUUCACUGCACCUUGUGGUUUCUGUAUCUCGGUGUCUUUAGACAUUAUUUUACUUUUGAUCAUAAUGUUUGAAUUAGACAUUACAGAUCUUACUCACGCUACACUCUGUAUCAGCGCGUCUACACCGCGCGUGACCAGCAACGCGGCCUCGUUACUAACACUUUAUUUUCAGUGCUUUUUUAACUGUAAGUAGAAGUAAAUUUUGUUAUCAGACUCGGAUAUCCAUGUUAAUAUUUUUAAUACUGAUUAGUGUUAAAUGACGGGAAAGAGUCAACACAUGGGAUGAUCAUGCAGGACCAUGGCACCAAACGUCUCCAAAUGACACAAAACCUCUAAAAAAAAUAAAACCUCUCUAAAUGGCACAAAGCCGUUAAAAAUUGCAGACUUCUAGAAAUAGCAAACAUUAAUUUUUAUUUAUUUAUUUUUUGUUAAAGGUACAAAACAGCCUCUCCAAAUGGCACCAAACAUCUCCGUUUGAUUUUCUCAGCCUCUGUCAUGUCGAGUUUGGGCUUGUUUGAAAGCUAGAAGUAUCUACAAUUGGUCCAAGUGGGUGUCAAUCAAGUUAGACUGCCAAUUAUAAUUUAGGAGGCGGGUUGUUCAGCAUAGCCAAAGCAGAUUAGCUGCUUUUAGAAUGUGUCUCAGUUCCGUUUAUGGCUAAUUACUAAAUUCCAGAGGAGAUGGAUAUCAAAACACUUAAUGCAUUUUGAAGAGGACAUUUGUGACUAAAUAUGGAACUUUGCAUUUGUUUUAUUCAAUAAAGCUGAUGGACUUUAUACCGAUGGAAAUGUGCAUGAUUUAUAAAACCGCGAGUGAACUGGGUUUUCGUCUAUGUAGGAAAUGUAAGGUAGUAAACGUUUACACAAGACCGAUCUUUGGUUUAAAUGUUAAUUUUAUUGUGGCAGUUGUAUACGGUGUUUUACUGUCAAAAAAGCUUUACUCCUGAUCUCUGAUUUAUCUCUUUCUCAAUGUUUUUCAUGGAGAGGUGUGAAUCGUUUGCCCAGCAGGGAGCUCAAACCCCGCCCCUUUCCCAUCCCCCUGCUCACUAGCAGUUAAGCACACAGUCAUGAAACUGCACACACAGAAAGUCGUUUUCCAUUCCGUCGGCGGAAUGAACGCUAGUGUCGGGGCGAAAGCGGUUAAAAACUUGUUUAUUAUACAAAUUAUUAAAUAAGUUUUAAUUGAAAAUACAUUUGAUCGUAGAGGAAAAGGUAAUUUCUCUAACUCGGUGCAGUUCGUUGGUUGAAAUGAAUUUAAAGUUGUCAUAACUCAAAAUGAUUGAUGUUUUGCAAACUGUUGCGUUAAUGUUUUGUUGAGCCUGAACAUUUAUUUUAGAGAGUACCGACAACCUUCACAGCCGUAUUAGACCUGUAGUCCAGCAGUGCAGUGAGUGUGGUUUGUUUGGAAUGGUUUGAGAUUUGGAUAGAUCAAGCUAAAUAAAACACUUAAUACACAUGGGUAAUAAUGUCUGUUUUUAUAUUAUUUAAGGUUUUAUGCGAAACAUAAUCCAAAAUGAUGUACAAUUAAAGGUUAGUAUAAUUAGCCUACACUGAACAAGUUAAGUGAUAUAUGUGCACACAUACUAAUCAUGGGUCCAAAUAUUGCUAAAUUUGGCUGAAUUAUAAAAGCCAUUAGUCGUACUGAAUGAAGAGUCGUUUGGGAGUUUAUUGCUGAGCCGAAUGAACUGACUCACUGAAAAGAGCUGGAAUAACCAUAACUAAUUUGUGUAUCUUUGAUUCCUGUAUGUGUCUAUAAAUCUUUACGUGCCCUGAUGUUUCCAUGGCAACUGGUCACUCGUCACGAUUGCAAUGAACUCAAAGCAAAAAAUAAAUAAACAAUAAUAAUAAUGUAACUGCUGUUUUUCUAAGUUGAGCAGUGUAAGUGUGAGUUCUUUUGGCGUGAGGUAUUCGUGUUGCACAGUGAUGAAUAAUUUGCUGUAUAUUCCUCUUUAAACAGUGCCUAUGUCCAGUGAUGAAUAAUUAGUAAGAUUUGAUGGUAAUAUUAGUCUACACUUAUUUUCAAACUUUUUGUAACACAUUUUCUGUCUAUUACAGAUGUGUUGAGUCCUUCACAUUAGAAUAAGAUGAAUAGUUAAUGUUGAAUUAGGAUUUGCAUGGAUUACAUGUGUCUGGAUUGGACAGUGUUGCAUGUUACGUGGUGGUUUCUUUUGCUGCUGAUGUGACCUGUUGUUGUGCUGAUGUGGGUCUCACUGCAGUGACAUGUUUGUUAGUUUAGUUCAGUUACAGUCUCUUUGCGCUCAGUGAAGGAAACAAAUUUGUAUUAAAUUGAAACCAAGCUCAUAGUAGAUAAAUUUUGUUAGACUAGUUAAAUACACAUGCGCAUUACUCCUGAUUAGAGAUAUUUACAGAAAGUGAACAGUUUAAAUGUCAUGUAUGAAGGGUCUGAGUGAUAUUUUGAGUGUGGUACAGUUGUAAGUUAAUAAGGGACAAAGGGGUGCAUGCACGUCUACCCUUUAAACUAAACACUAUUGUUGUAGACAGUAAAAACAAAUUCAGUAGGAUGUUUUGAAUAAAAAUGAGUGGGAUAAAAGAGACUAGAGAACUGUAAAUACAUGUCUAGAUCUCAACCUCAUUUACUCUAUUUUAGUUCUGUAUUAUUGGGAUUAUCACUCGUUAGCACAGACGGGAUAUUAACAUGUUAGAUUAAUGUACAUCACAAAUAGUCCUAGACUAAAGGAUUUGGUUUUUUCAUUCACCAGAAGGAUAUUAAGAGAGGAAUUCAGGAAGGGAGAAGAAGGAAUCUUUGUUGUAUUUUGUUGUAUUUUUGCAGACAACAGACUAGAACUCUUUGACAGAUUAACUAAACAUGAGAGUAGAAGACCCCUUUAUGAGAGGGGGUAUUCCAACAAAUGAUAUUUGAUUAGAGAAGUACAUUACACGAAGAUGAGAGAACUGAAGGGAUGGGAGAUUAAAUCAAGUAUUACAAGAAAAGCAGGGAAUUAGCCAUCACCUGUGGAAAGAGCCAUUUUAUUUCUUUAUUUAUUUAUUUAACCUUUAUUUAACCCGAAUAGCCUCUCUGAGAUUACUUCAGUAAUUUUUAAAUGAUUUAAUAGACCAGCAUUAUUUAAUCUCUGCAGCAAUAUUUCAUGAUCCACUGUGUCAAGCCUUUGAUAAAACAAUAAACAGGGAAGUGCAGUAAUCACCUUUAUCUAGAGAUUACACAAUAUUGUAAAAUAGUAAACUGAUAUAUUUAUCUUUCAUAUCAAUUCUGUAUUUUAUUCUUCAUAUACACAUCACAAAAAAUAGUACAAAUCUAAUCAGCCCAUUUGAUCUAUGCCAAAUAUCUUAGUUCUGAAAAUCUUUUCAGCUUGCUUUAGGUAGAGUUUCAAUUUUCAGUCUCAGUCGGACCUGGACAGAGUGCACCUUCUCCUGAACUCUUGUCCCCGACAGCAGAGCCACUUAUUGGCAACUAAAUCAAAGAUUAAAAGAAAUAUUUACAAAAGAUUUAUGAAGUUGCUUGGAUAUCAGUGAGCACUGAUUUUGUUUCCAAUUUUCAGUAAAAUUGAGUACAUUAAUAAAAAUAACCAAAUACGCCAAGCAUUUUCUGCAGAGGUGCUUACUGGAAACUUACCCCACGUACUGCCUACAAAAACCUAACCCUAACCCUAACCCAAAAAACCCUAAAGCCCUAACUCUAACCUUAACCCUAACCCUAACCCCCUAACUCUAACCUUAACCCUAACCCUAAUCAGCCCGUGCCUCAUGUUUGCAAUUCGCUCUACUGUUAUUUUCCCUUCUGGUCGGCCUGUUCAUAAGAAUCAUUAUUUGAUUAAUUACAACUCCCAAUAAGGACAAACACGGGCAAAGGCAUACCUAUGCCACCCCAGAAUCCCUUGAAAGAAAAAGAAAAAAGAAUUAAAAAAGAGAUUAAAACAAUUGAAACCUAAAUGGAGAAAUAAAUAAAUAAAUAAAUAAUGGGAAAACCCACAUGGGAGGUUACGACACGCUCCCAGCGUCCAUCCAAACUCCUGUACCAGACAGGAAAAAGACCCUAUCCCUAUCAGGGACCGCGAACGGGACAGUUCUGACGCACGAAGGGGAAUCCGUGUCACUCCACUACAGCCUGACAGGCUCAACAAUCCCACCGGGAGGCACAAGAAAAAAGACACACGGCAUGCAGACACGACAUGACCCUAAAAAUAUACUCACUGAGUCCAAUGGAACUCUUUCCGGGUCACCGUUCAGUAGGUCAACCUGUGCCGGUAUAGUUCCUGGAGAAAAAAACAAAAGAGAAAAAGAAUGGUGGGAAUGGACUGGCUGACAUGGGGGUGAAACCCAGUGGAGUGAGCGACAUAAGAUGGCCAGUGCAUACAGGUUAGCGUCUACCCUGACCCCUAACACUAACCCUAAAGCCCUAACCCUAACCCUAAAGCCCUAACCCUAACCCUAAACCCUAAACGCUAACCAUAACCCCAACCCUAAUCAGCCCGUGCCUCAUGUUUGCAAUUCGCUCUACUGUUCUUUUUCGUUCUGGUCGGCCUGUUUAUAAGAAUCAUUAUUUGAUUAAUUACAACUCCCAAUAAGGACAAACACGGGCAAAGGCAUACCUAUGCCACCCCAGAAUCCCUUGAAAGAAAAAGAAAAAAUAAUUUAAAAAGAGAUUAAAACAAUUGAAACCUAAAUGGAGAAAUAAAUAAAUAAUGGGAAAACCCACAGUACACAAGUGGGAAACAGUAAUUUAAUAAAUAAUACUAUUAGUUUAAAAUCUAAAUAAAACAAUGCAAAAAGCCCCACUACAUAAAACAGCUAAUUUUCUGAUUGGCCCAGGGCUGUUAUCUUUCAAAAACCACAAAAACAUGGGAGAGCCUCCUAUUGGCCAAUUCAAACAGAGUCCCGCCCCCUAUACUAUAAAAAGGGACAGUUGCGGAGGCAAAAGCUCACUCACAGCUCUUCGAGAGAAAGCCUUUAAACACUACUCAUACUCUUUUAAUGCUCAAUCUAUUUCAGUAAAUCUGCUUCCAGCUCUUUGAGAGAAAGCCUUUAAACAAUACUCAUACUCUUUUAAUGCUCAAUCUAUUUCAGUAAAUCUGCUUCCAGCUCUUUGAGAGAAAGCCUUUAAACAAUACUCAUAUUCUUUGGAUCCUCAAUCUUUUCGGUUAAUUGAUUUCAAAUAAUAACAAGCCUGCCUGAAGAAGGUUCCAGGAGAACCGAAACGUUGCGCAACGGCUUGUUAAUUUAUCCUUACUCCAGAAUUCAAGGAAAGUGAUUCCACUGAUUCAGAAUAAAAAUUCCUCAAAAUACAAUUGAUGACAAAGCAUAUAAUACAAAUUAAGCCCUAUUAACCGGGAGAAUAACAGAGAUCUAAUACAAAUUAAGCCCUACUUCCCUGAAAAUUAAAAAGCACAUAAUACAAAUUAAUCCCUAUUGACCUGAAAUAAAAAUUCCUCAAAAUACAAUUGAUAAUACUGUAUAUAAUACAUAAUUGCACAAUUACUUCCCUGAAAAAGUACACGAUACUAAUUAAGAUCCUACUUACCUGAGAACACAAAAAAACAUUAAAAAAUAAUAAAUAAGUCUACUUAUCUGGUUCCAAUCUCCCCAAGAGUCCUCUCACACCUAAAACAUAGAAAAAAGGUCCAAUUUGAUCAAUUUAGAUCCACAACAAGUCUACCAACACACGUACACAUAUAUAUUAGAAAGAAUAAGACACUUAAACCAUGGCUUGGCCAGAGAGAGACGGUUGGACUAUGGUCAGACACGGACGCAAACGUGCCGUCCAGAGCAUGGCUCGGCCCACGCCCCGUUCCCACCGCGACAUAGAGCACCGUGCACCGGGGGAAAGAGUGCUCUCCUACGCGGAGAUGGUCAAAUACGGAGGCGGUUAGAGCACGGGCCCUACUCACUAUCAUGACUUUGAUCGUCGGCCAGACAGGCCGCGAUGUUUUGAAUCCCGGGCCCGUUCGAGGCCCUCUACCUCGGUGCCUCGGUAUAUGGUGCGCUCGCACCCGAAAAACAAAAAAUCACAUCGCUGGCAGGACCAAAAACUAAACAACAAUUGGAAUCAGGUGUGGCUCCUGCUAGAUUGGAACGAAAAGCUGAAGAUUGGACAACGCUGCAUAAGACCAAUCAGCAUAUAGACAUAUUUGCAUAUUAAAUAUAAAACAUUGACUAUAUAGAUGGCUGAUCGCGGAAAAUGUACACCUCUCAUCACAGUUUGCAUGCUAGCUUGUCGCUAACAAAAGACAGACACGGAGAGCCCUCAUGUUCUCACGUUUCCGCCCCUGUUCACGGGGCAAGCGUGCCCUGAUGGAUAAUGAUGUGUUUACAAACAGCAAAGAAGCACUAAGAACACACAUGGGAAGCAGAAAGAGACAUAGGAGGCCUGCUGAGAAGCCUAUGGCACAUUCUGUUGACCAAUUUAUUUUCAGGUAGGUGAUUCCUUCCUUUUGUGCCAACUACCAUAAAGUACUGCGAGAAGCUCCAAUCCAUGCAUUGGCCAGGAAUCAAUCCCAGGUCAACUGCUUGGACGGGAGCUAUGCUCACCACUAUACCACCAAUGCCACACUGGGCAAUUCAGAUCUGGUGAACAAAAGUUUAAGGGUGUGCUCUUCGCAUCCGAAGACCAUAGGCAACAGCCAAAGCACCCACCUACCGUGGUUUCUGUAGUGUAGUGGCCUCACAUGCAAAAGGUCCCUGGUUUGAGACCGGGUAGAAACAAGCUAGGAGUUUUGAACUUUGCUUUAUUACCUGACCGGUUGUCAUCACUGUAGGAUCAGGUCCUCUAGGAACAGCCGGAAAGCGAGACCUCGGACAGAGCAGAUUUCCUUCUUUUGUGCUUUUGUAGCAAAGCACAUAACAUUUGCUUACCAAAUGAAAGGGGGUCUCUGGUUUUCCCCAGAAAGUGGAAGCCUGGCUCUUUCAUUGCUCAACAAGACUCUGUGCGUGACUGGAAAAUUUUCCGUAAAGUACUGGUCACCAAGUUCACCUAUCAGCGAGAGGUCUACGCCCGAAAAAGGCUGGGAGCGGUUUCCCUUCCAUUGAGCCUUUUGUAGCAAGGCAGAUAACAGCUGCUUGCAAAAUCACAGGCAGUCUCUGCUUUUCCACUGAAUGUGGAAGCCUGGCUCUUUCCUUCAUCAAGAAGACAAGAGUAAUGAUGUGCUUGAUUCGAGGGGUAGGGGUAGACAUGGCCAGGGAAUAAGAGAAACAAUACAGAGCAGCAAGUAGUUACACAGACUCCUGAAUGUUCUCAAUAACCAUACAUUUCAUGUAAACACCAACCAGAAAAACUGAAAAUAUAUGUACACACUGUAUUUCACAAUAAUUAACAAUGGUCAAGUCCAUCAAUAACGCAAAUGUCCAAGUCUGUUAAUUUCAGUACCCCAACUAAACUUUCUAAUCUUACGGUUCGGUCCCCAUUUGGGCGCCACUCUGUAGCGUGGUACCUUAUGGGGUUUGGACGCCAGACAGUUCAAAUUAACCGUCACUCAUAACUUAUAAUUUGGACAUCACUCAGAAUAAGGCUACUCAAUUCUUACAAAAUAAGUUUAUUAUUAUUUAUGCAGUAAACAUAAGAAAAUACAGAUCGUUUCAGUCAUAGAAACUGAAAUAAUGAAAACCAAAAAGUUCCCCUACGUGGGAUUAAUAAACGCACCCAUAAGGAAACAAGGCUCUAUUCAUAAAAGAAAAUUUUCACACACAAAAGGCAGAAAAAAAACAUUUAACCCCAAAAUAAUUCUUAACCAAAACAAAAAAGUUGUUCACUUUGAAGCUGCACUUCAAUGGCGGUGAUUUAGGCGUACGGGAGUUCGUGAACCCGAAAGCAUGGGAAAGAGCAGUCAGAUUCCGCUUAACACUCGGAGUUCUUUACAGACAGUAACAUCCAACGAUUUAAACAUACUGGUUCUCCACAAAAGUAUUAAAGAAAGGAUCUCAAACCCGUGAUGUGCCUCCGAACCCUCAAAACUCUGCUCGCUAGUUUAUUCACCUUGGCAGAAUAUUCCCGAAGUGUUCGCCAGCCUCCUGAAUCAAUAUCCACAAGGUUAUAAUCCACAGUAAGAGCAUUAGCAUGGUCCUUGGCAAACACACACCAUCAGUUCCGCCAUUCCCACCUGGCUCUCAUUUCCGCGUCCCGCUUUCUCUCACCUAGUCACCUGUUCUUUUUAUUGCUUCCUAAGACCCCACCCUUCUCUUCAUCUCUUUUUCUACUUCCGUUAAUUAAAACACCACGGAAUGGAAUGGACUCCGCUUCUGCGUCACUAAAUGGUAAAAUGGUAAAUGGCGCACUUAUAUAGCGCUUUACACUGUGUCUCAUUCACCCAUUCGCACACCAGUGAUAGCAGAGCUGCCAUGCAAGGCGCUAACUUGCCAUCGGGAGCAACUUGGGGUUCAGUGUCUUGCCCAAGGACACUUUGGCAUGUGGAGUCAUGCUGGCUGGGAACCGCCAACCCUACGAUUAGUGGACAACCCGCUCUACCACCUGAUCCACAGCCACCCCUGGCACUGUGCAGCUAUCUGUUACAAAUGAAUGGGAAAAUUCAAGGAUGUUGUAAUUGGUAAGUUGUGAUGUCAAAAGUAUCUGUACCAAGUUGAUACUAAAAUUUUAAAAAGAAUGAUACGAUCAGUUUUUUUUUUCAGUACCGGCUGUACCAAGUAUUCUCCUGCUUUCUGAUUGACUUUCUUUUGUGUUCCAGGUGCAGUCUUUGGAUACUGAUGAAGAUUUACUGCCCUGCAAGAUCUUCCUCAACUGCAUAGUCUGGAGCGAAGGAUGCAACAGAGCCCAGAUUACAAGCAAAAACUGGGCGGAUGUGCUCGACU